GAUGAACGCUGGCGGCGUGCCUAAUACAUGCAAGUCGAGCGAACGGACGAGAAGCUUGCUUCUCUGAUGUUAGCGGCGGACGGGUGAGUAACACGUGGAUAACCUACCUAUAAGACUGGGAUAACUUCGGGAAACCGGAGCUAAUACCGGAUGAUAUUUUGAACCGCAUGGUUCAAAAGUGAAAGACGGUCUUGCUGUCACUUAUAGAUGGAUCCGCGCUGCAUUAGCUAGUUGGUCAGGUAACGGCUUACCAAGGCAACGAUGCAUAGCCGACCUGAGAGGGGGAUCGGCCACACUGGAACUGAGACACGGUCCAGACUCCUACGGGAGGCAGCAGUAGGGAAUCUUCCGCAAUGGGCGAAAGCCUGACGGAGCAACGCCGCGUGAGUGAUGAAGGUCUUCGGAUCGUAAAACUCUGUUAUUAGGGAAGAACAUAUGUGUAAGUAACUGUGCACAUCUUGACGGUACCUAAUCAGAAAGCCACGGCUAACUACGUG
rnacentral:rRNA from 1 species